AGCUUCAUGACACUUUUUCAUGGAAGCCUUCUUCCCUGACUCUGGAUAUCUGGACUCUCCAAUCUGAAUGAGUAGGAACAAGAAAAUGAGGCUCUCUCUCUCCUCAUCUCCCAGUUAAAGGAUAUGCUAUCUCACCAGAAGAGUGAAAGCCUACAGACAAUCAUUAAGAAUUUUAAAAUAGGGCCUCAUGGCAAGAUGGCUGAAUCGAAACAGCUCCGGUCUGCAGCUCCCGG